AGCCUGACGCAGCGACGCCGCGUGGGGGAUGAAGGCCUUCGGGGUGUAAACCCCUUUCGACCCGGACGAAUAGCCCGCAAGGGAAUUGACGGUACCGGUAGAAGAAGCCCCGGCUAACUACGUGCCAGCAGCCGCGGUAAAACGUAGGGGGCCAGCGUUGCUCGGAAUUACUGGGCGUAAAGGGUUCGUAGGCGGUGCGGCAAGUCGGGAGUGAAAUCUCGCGGCUCAACUGUGAGGCUGCUUCCGAAACUGCUGUGCUCGAGUGCGGGAGAGGCGAGUGGAAUUGCAGGUGUAGCGGUGAAAUGCGUAGAUAUCUGCAGGAACACCCGUGGCGAAGGCGGCUCGCUGGACCGCAACUGACGCUGAGGAACGAAAGCUAGGGGAGCAAACAGGAUUAGA
rnacentral:rRNA from 1 species